rnacentral:rRNA from 1 species
AAUCAACGCUGGCGGCGUGCCUAACACAUGCAAGUCGAGCGAGAAAGGGGCUUCGGCCCUGAGUAAAGCGGCGCACGGGUGAGUAACACGUGGGUAAUCUGCCCUUGAGUGGGGAAUAACACCGGGAAACCGGUGCUAAUACCGCAUACGAUCACGAUGUUUGCGGAUGUUGUGCUGAAAGGAGCAAUUCGCUCUUGGAGGAGCCCGCGGCUGAGUAGCUAGUUGGUAAGGUAAUGGCUUACCAAGGCAACGAUCAGUAGCCGGUCUGAGAGGACGGUCGGCCACACUGGAACUGAGACACGGUCCAGACUCCUACGGGAGGCAGCAGUAGGGAAUCUUGCGCAAUGGGCGAAAGCCUGACGCAGCCAUGCCGCGUGAAUGAUGAAGGUCUUAGGAUUGUAAAAUUCUUUCACCGGGGAAGAUAAUGACGGUACCCGGAGAAGAAGCCCCGGCUAACUUCGUGCCAGCCGCCGCAGUAAGAC